UCCCUGGUGGCUCAGUGGUAAAGAACCUGCCUGCCAAUGCAGGAGACACAGGUUCGAUCCCUAGCCUGGGAA
rnacentral:tRNA from 1 species